GCGGGGCGGGCUUUUAAAGGGACCGUUUCCACUCGGGCCCAUUCGCCCGCGGGGACUGCCGAUGGUGAGGGCUGGGUGGCCCUGGGAUUCGGGAUCGAGGAGGCAGAGGAGAAGCAGGGCUGUGUGACUCCCCCCCCACCGCGGAGGUGACAAGGGAGCUAGGGGCUGUGUAAAUGCCCUCUGGGGCAACAAUGGGAUGGCUGUCCCCCAGGGAGCAAUACGGAGGAGAAAGGACUAUGGAAUUGCACCUUCUGGGUGAUAAGAGGGAGACGGGGGUGUGUAACCCCUCAGGAUAUUGAAAGCGAGCUUGGGUUCCAAAAAUGUUCGUCGGAAUAAUAAGGGUGGGGCUGCAUAAUUACUGCAUCCUCCACGGAGGGAGCUGCGGCUCUAGGGGACAGUCCGAGGGCUACUUAAGAGAGAUCACAGGGACAGCUCGGAACUGUUACCCUCUCCCAUGCCCUACUCUCAGCAUUCUCCAUCUCCCCUUCCUGUCGGGUUGCCCAGCCAUGGCCAGACCACCCGCCCCGGGCUCGGUGAUUGUCCCAGACUGGCACGAGAGUACGGAGGGCAAGGAGUACCUGGCCUGCAUCCUGCGCAAGAACUGCCGCCGGGUGUUUGGGCUGCUCGAGCGACCAGUGCUGCCCCCACCUGUGGCCAUUGACACCGCCAGCUACAAGAUCUUUGUGUCUGGGAAGAGCGGCGUGGGCAAGACAGCGCUGGUGGCCAAGCUAGCUGGCCUGGAGGUGCCCAUGGUGCACCACGAGACCACUGGGAUAAUAGUACCAACCCCUUGGGACUGUGGUGGGGUUCAUACAAGAGACAGUGGUGGUAGCAUGCCUGGCACUGAGCUGGCACAAGGCAUCCAGACCACCGUGGUAUUUUGGCCAGCCAAGCUGCAGGCCAGCAACCGUGUCGUCAUGUUCCGCUUUGAGUUCUGGGACUGCGGGGAGUCUGCGCUCAAGAAGUUUGAUCACAUGCUGCCGGCUUGCAAGGAGAAAACAGAUGCUUUCCUCUUCCUCUUCUCCUUCACUGACCGUGCCUCCUUUGAAGACCUCCCUGGACAGCUGGCCCGAGUAGCAGGCGAGACCCCUGGUGGGGUCAGGAUGGUCAUCGGCUCCAAAUUUGACCAGUACAUGCACACGGACGUGCCCGAGCGUGACCUCACAGCCUUCCGGCAGGCCUGGGAGCUGCCCCUCCUGCGGGUGAAGAGCGUGCCGGGGCGGCGGCUGGCAGAUGGGCGCACGCUGGAUGGGCGGGCUGGGCUGGCUGACAUUGCCCAUGUGCUCAACGGCCUGGCAGAGCAGUUGUGGCACCAGGACCAGGUGGCAGCUGGCCUGCUCCCCAACCGCCCAGAGGACCGGCCCAGCCGAGGGGUGGUGGCCUCAUGAGCGGGCACUCCCAACCCUCAGGUGACCCAGAACAGGCCCCAGGCCCCAAGACUGGGACAGGAAUAUUGAUCUCAUCCCGAGGACUGGCCAGAGGGGCUGGUCAGGGAGGAUGGUGGCCUGAGAAGGCUCCGCCCCAGCAGCACUUUCUUUGUGGAAUUCAUGCCAGGGAGGGGGGCACAAGGCUCUGGGGCGCAGCCUCUGAGGGCGUCUGCAUGUCCUCUGGCCUCCUCCCUCUGCCCUAGGAGUCUGGGCUUCUGGAAACUGAGGAGCUGUAUUUGCAGGGCCUGAGGGCUCAAGUGUCUCCCCCAGCCUCCCGCUGCCCUUCCCCCUUCUGCAGCAACCGACGAGGGUGACUGGGGAGAGGGGGUGCCUCAGGUGGGCCCUGGACCUCACGUGACUUCAACCAGGAGCCUGUAUUAGUUGAGGUGGAGGUGAAAGUGGGUGUGGGGACUCUGCUCUAUACACUCAUUCAGAGGCCCAGGCUCUGAGAUCUUCAGUGAGUUUCUUUCCCAUUCAUCCUGGGGCAUCCACAUCCAGUCAGCAGACAGGGGAUGAGUGCACGUGCAAGGUCACCCAGCAGGUUUCUAUGGACCUGGCCCAGGGCCGUGUGACUCAUUUCUGCCCACAUUCCAUUGGCCAACACCUAAUCACAUGGUCACACAGAGCUGAGGGGGAGGCUGGGAAAUGUAGUCCACCUGUGUGUCCAGGAGGCAAGCCCCUCACUCUAGUGCCUUUUUUGACCAUGAAGCUGUCAGGCUAUGCUUAUGCCACGCUAGGGGAACUAGAAAGCAUCACUGGGCAGGGCCAGGGACUGGGCCAGGUCGGGGUCAGGGUGUGAGUUGGCAGGAGGCCAGCAAGGACAGGAGCAGGAAGGUGAGUGACCUUGUGCCUCUGCCCCAUCAGCCAGAGACUAGAGAAUGCAAGCUAACGUGUGGGGGUGGGGCAGGUGCCUACAACGGCCUUGAUACUCUCUCUCCCUCCCCAGUGACACCCUCUCCAGCCCCAGAGAUGGACUGCUGGGCAGAGGGCUGUCCUGAGUCUGACCCAGCUGGAAGGGCCCUGGAUGCCGAGGUCAGCCAGCUGACCCUCGGAGCCCCCUCUUGAGAAAGCAGCUCUGCACACUCCACGUGCACACACAUGAUCGUGUGCCCACUCACACCAGCAUCUGUCCUCAAUGCUGCCCCACUCCUCCCUGCUGACAUACACAGGAGGCUCCCGCAUGCCCUCCCUGGCUCCCGCUCCUAAGCGUACUGAUGGCCUGCAUGGCACUGUUUGCCAGCCUGUCUAC